GCUGAAAAUGGAAUUGAUGAGCUGGGAGAAAACAAUUGCUUUGGACCAAUGCCAUGUUCCAGAUAUGGGGAGCAAUGAGCUGAUGGUGGAGAGGCUGGAGACUGACUCCCCAACCCCACAAAACAAUUGGGGCUGAAGUGGACAAACAAAGUAACUGAAUCUUGAAAAUGGGCCGAAAUGAAACAUCCCGGACCUGAGCACCCAAGACAGUACGGUAAGGGUCUCCAGGUGGAGUUGGGAAGCCCGGGAGCCCAUGCUGGAACACAAGGAAGUUGGGGACAGGAACUCUGAAAACAAAAUUGGCUGGUUUUGCUUCUCCCUCCUCACCCUGGAUCCCUUAUAGGAAUCACAAAUGGUGUGUGUGUGGGAUAUCAGACUUGACUACCCUUUGUGGAAUCCUAUGCGUAAGGUGAAUUCCCUUUAUGUAAUGGAGAUCUGCCUACCAGACUACAAGUGCAUUAGCAGUGCAAACCAUGCUAUGCUGCCAGAAACCAAGGGGACUCUUCUGACAGAAGAAGAAGAAGAUGAAAAGUUGAACUGUGAAACAUUUCAGAACUGGGCUUGCUGCAGUUCCAAGGAAGCAUUCACCCACAUGGGCAGCUCCAAGUAACAGCUCAUUUCUCUGGACUACAAUUCUGAGAAGUGUUGAAUCCCCUCUGAGCUACAGGGACAGUUUAUGUAAAGAGGUUUAGCAUGGUGAGUGGAGUAUACAUACACACAGUGAUACAGACACCAUAGAGCCCUGCACAAAAACCUUGAACAUAACAAACACUUUUUUUCCCUCAGGCAAAUGUCUAGCCCUUGGGUUUUUUGCCAUUUUCAGAGGAAGUUACAUGAAAAGACAGAAGAAAGGGCCAGGAAAUGUUCGUCAAUGUUUUUGUGUAAAAUAAAUAAAUAAAUAAAUAAAAUCUUAAUUACGAUUGAUUCA